rnacentral:rRNA from 1 species
CCUACGGGAGGCAGCAGUAAGGAAUAUUGGUCAAUGGAGGCAACUCUGAACCAGCCAUGCCGCGUGCAGGAAGAAGGCCCUAUGGGUCGUAAACUGCUUUUGUACCAGAGAAAACCCGAGUACGUGUACUCGGUUGAUAGUAUGGUAAGAAUAAGCAUCGGCUAACUUCGUGCCAGCAGCCGCGGUAAGACGAAGGAUGCAAGCGUUAUCCGGAUUCAUUGGGUUUAAAGGGUGCGUAGGCGGACUGAUAAGUCAGUGGUGAAAUCUCUCAGCUUAACUGAGAAACUGCCAUUGAUACUGUUAGUCUAGAGUAUAGAUGACGUUGGCGGAAUAUGACAUGUAGUGGUGAAAUACUUAGAUAUGUCAUAGAACACCGAUUGCGAAGGCAGCUAACGAAACUAUAAACUGACGCUGAGGCACGAAAGUGCGGGGAUCAAACAGGAUUAGAUACCCUGGUAGUCCGCACCGUAAACGAUGAUUACUCGUUGUUGGCAAUAUGACCGUCGAGCGACCGAACGACGAAGACGAGAAGUAAAUACCUACCGUUCGGGGAGGUACGGCCGGGCCGGAACCGGUUACGGAAACGUUAAAACGUUAAGUUAAGUUAGUUACGGACGUUGAGACGUUAGCCGACGGACGACCGACGAGGGGAGGAGGAG